rnacentral:lncRNA from 1 species
UUAAUUAUACAUCACUACUACAAAUUUAUGAUUUAGCGGCAUUUACUCUGCAACAUUUAUUUAAAUAACGCUAAUUAAUAUAUUUAACAGCAUUACUUGAUAACUAUCGUUAAAUUUAAUAAUUUAGCAAUAAUUUACUAUUAAUAUUGCAAAAUAGAAUAAAUUAGCAGCAUAAAUUAGUAAAUGCCACCGANUCAAAUUUAAAACUAUUAAUUUUGAAACUUAAAAUUUCAUAUUUCAAAAUUAAAAAUUUAAAUUUAGUAUCUAAAUUUAAAAAUUUAAAAUUUUAAAAUUUUAAAAUAGAAGACUUAAAAUAUAAAAAAUUAAAAUAUACAUAACUAAUAGUCGCUAGCGCAAGUGGCAAAGGACUUGGUUGUUGGUACUCGAAGUCUCAUGUUCGAAUCCUAGUUGAUUCACAUUUCCAGCAAAGUUUAUGAUUUAUGAAAAAAAGAAAUAAAUGAAGCGGGUAGCAUAUCAAUAAAAUUAAAUAUAAAAUUAAAAUUUUAAAAUUUAAAUUUCUAAAAUCAGAUAUUUGUAUUAGCGGCAUUAUAUUUAUGUGUCAUUAAUAAACAAUUUAAAAUUAGCAUUUAAUCCCCUUUAGCGGCAUAUUCCUAAUGACACUAAUUAAUUUAUAUCGGCGGCAUUUAUAAUUAAUGCUGCUAAAACUUUUAGCAACAUUGGCAUAGGCAGCAUUUCAUGUCAUAUGCUGCUAAAACUUUUAGCAGCAUUUGUUGAUCAUUUAGCAGAAUAAAUAAAUACCACUAAUGAUUAAUUUUCUAGUAGUGCAUGAAUAUGACUUCCGACACUUACCAUGCAUAUCCAAA